AUGCCGUCCCCGUCCUCCUCCUCCUCCCCCCACCGGAAGCUCCUCCACUCCUUGAUUUGCUGGGCGGUGCAGCGGUGCCGGAUGUCGGAGUCGCCGUGCCGGCUCGCGGUCUCCCUCAAGGGACCCUCGGACCCCGCCGCGUCCUCGGCCCUGCGCGUCUCCGUUUCGGACACUGGAGUCGGGAGCAAGCUGGAGGAGUUCCUGGAGCUGGAUGCCCUGGCGCGUGAGACCCCGCUGGAGAAAUGGGAUGGUACCCUCUUAAUCACAACUACUGGAAUCAAUGACAAAGCUAUUUAUCAUUACCGAUUUAAUCUUCAUGAGAACGCAUCUUCAAGUACAAGAUGCAGCAAGAUGUCUACCACAUACAAGAAUAAUGCAAAAUUCAGUGGAACUGAAGUAUGCCUUUGCGUUUCAAAUGGCGCUGAUAUUGAUGACUUCGUAUUAUGGCUGGUUGGUUUUGCACGCAAGAUACACGUGCUAAGAGCAGCUAACUUAGCAAUUGAGCUCGCCAUUGAGCAAACAAUAAGUGCUGGAUCAAGAAAUGUUUGUCUGCCAAAUGAAUCUGAUGAUACCCAUCUUUCUAUUGCCACAUCAAGUAUUGAGCGGCUAGUUUCUGGUCUUGAAGAUUAUGCACUCUCACAUGGGAACACAUGUGACAAGUGUGAUGCAUGUUGUAUGAAUAGAGAUCGUCUGAAGGUUGGAACUGGAUCUGCCAAGAACUCAGACAGAAGAAGAGAUAAAGGGCUACUUGUUGAAAUUGCCAUAAUGGUUGCGCACACUGCAUCUGAUUUGAGUUGUUGGAUGGUUAAUUGCUCAUCUAGUCAGGUUUUGCAUUUUCAAGACUUUGUACCCUGCCCCAUUUCACAGUCAUCCUUCAAUGUGCUCAUGAGUAUGGAUUGGCAAAGCUUCGGUUUCAAGUUAAAAGGAGGUUUCAUGGAUGACGAAGGAAAUGCUGUGCUUGAGUGGGAUAACCUGACAUUUGCUCGUGUUGAUAUUGCCAUUCACACUUACCAUGGAAUAGUACAAGAAUGGCAGAGAUCUGAACCAGAUAAAUAUGUUGUGAGGAAGGCACUUAAGCUUGCAUUGCAUAACCUGAAAGCAGAUCAUGCAGGAGAGUUUAUCAGUUGUCAUGGAAAGAAGAUUCUUGAAUACGUCCCCGACCUCGCUCAGUCGAUCGCUGGCCUGAUCUCGUCGUCCAAUGACCGAGAGUUCCGAGAUGAAUGCGCCGCGCUCCUCGGGCUGGGCUCCGGUCAAGACAUCUCGGAAGGGGCGGUCAGGUCCUGCAUCGGCGACAAGAUGGCCCGCAUCAUAGAGAUGGGCGACGGCAAGGAGAAGGCCGAGGACAGCGCGCCGCCGUACCUGUUCGAGUGCGAGAAGCUGGAUGAAGACAGCCCGCUGCUCGACGAAGAGGAUGGAGACGAGGACAUGAUUUUUGAUUUCUAG
rnacentral:rRNA from 1 species